CAGAACCUACGGGACGCAGCAGUCGGGAAUAUUGCACAAUGGGGGGAACCCUGAUGCAGCGACGCCGCGUGAAGGAAGAAGUAUUUCGGUAUGUAAACUUCUCUCAGCAGGGAAGAAAAAGGACGGUACCUGACUAAGAAGCCCCGGCUAACUACGUGCCAGCAGCCGCGGUAAUACGUAGGGGGCGAGCGUUAUCCGGAUUUACUGGGUGUAAAGGGGGCGCAGACGGCCAUGGCAAGCCCGGUGUGAAAGGUGCGGGCACGACCCGCAGACUGCACUGGUAACUGCCUGGCUGGAGUGCCGGG
rnacentral:rRNA from 1 species